UCUUCUAACAGAUAAGCUUUUUGUUUGCGUUAUGUUUAAAUUAGAAUAUAAGACGAACAAAAAGUUUGUCUGUUUGCAG
ensembl:miRNA dre-mir-736 microRNA 208a